rnacentral:misc_RNA from 1 species
UCCCGGUUGGCCCGGGCAGUCUCGUAUGAAAAAUACAACAUACGGUAAGGGUUGCGCUCGUUGCGGGACUUAACCCAACAUCUCACGACACGAGCUGACGACGGCCAUGCAGCACCUGUCACUUGGUUCCCGAAGGCACUCCUCUGUUUCCAGUGGAUUCCAAGGAUGUCAAGCCUGGGUAAGGUUCUACGCGUAUCGUCAUAUUAAACCACAUCAUCCUCCGCUUGUGCGGGUCCCCGUCAAUUCCUUUGAGUUUUAGCCUUGCGGCCGUACUUCCCAGGCGGCAUACUUAUCGCGUUAGCUUCGACGCACAGGGGGUCGAUACCCCAUACGUCUAGUAUGCAUCGUUUACGGCGUGGACUAC